rnacentral:rRNA from 1 species
GCCUAAUACAUGCAAGUUGAGCGCUGAAGGUUGGUACUUGUACCAACUGGAUGAGCAGCGAACGGGUGAGUAACGCGUGGGGAAUCUGCCUUUGAGCGGGGGACAACAUUUGGAAACGAAUGCUAAUACCGCAUAAAAACUUUAAACACAAGUUUUAAGUUUGAAAGAUGCAAUUGCAUCACUCAAAGAUGAUCCCGCGUUGUAUUAGCUAGUUGGUGAGGUAAAGGCUCACCAAGGCGAUGAUACAUAGCCGACCUGAGAGGGUGAUCGGCCACAUUGGGACUGAGACACGGCCCAAACUCCUACGGGAGGCAGCAGUAGGGAAUCUUCGGCAAUGGACGAAAGUCUGACCGAGCAACGCCGCGUGAGUGAAGAAGGUUUUCGGAUCGUAAAACUCUGUUGGUAGAGAAGAACGUUGGUGAGAGUGGA